rnacentral:rRNA from 1 species
AACCCACCGUAUGCAGGGGGACAACAGUCAGAAAUGACUGCUAAUACCGCAUAAGCACACAAUGCUGCAUGGCAUGGUGUGAAAAGAUUUAUCGGCAUACGAUGGCCCCGCGUCUGAUUAGCCAGUUGGCAGGGUAAUGGCCUACCAAAGCAACGAUCAGUAGCCGGCUUGAGAGAGUGACCGGCCACAUUGGGACUGAGACACGGCCCAGACUCCUACGGGAGGCAGCAG